rnacentral:rRNA from 1 species
UACAGAGGUCCCGAGCGUUGUUCGGAUUCAUUGGGCGUAAAGGGUGCGUAGGCGGCGGGGCAAGUCUGAUGUGAAAUCCCGGGGCUCAACCCCGGAACUGCAUUGGAUACUGCCUUGCUUGAGUACUGGAGAGGGAACUGGAAUUUACGGUGUAGCAGUGAAAUGCGUAGAUAUCGUAAGGAAGACCAGUGGCGAAGGCGGGUCUCUGGACAGUUCCUGACACUGAGGCACGAAGGCCAGGGGAGCAAACGGG